rnacentral:rRNA from 1 species
GACGAACGCUGGCGGCGUGCUUAACACAUGCAAGUCGAACGGAAAGGCCCUGCUUUUGUGGGGUGCUCGAGUUGCGAACGGGGGAGUAACACGUGAGUAACCUGCCCUUGACUUUGGGAUAACUUCAUGAAACUUGGGCUAAUACCGGAUAGGAGCUCCUGCUGCAUGGUGGGGGUUGGAAGGUUUCGGCGGUUGGUGAGGGACUCGCGGCGUAUCAGCUUGUUGGUUGGGUAGUGGGUUACCAAGGCUUUGAGGGGUAGCCGGCCUGGGAGGGUAACAGGCCACACUGGGCUUGAGCUACGGCACAGCCUCCUACGGGAGGGAGCAGUGCAGAAUAGUGCAUAAUGGGCGGAAGGAUGAUGUAGCACAGCCGCGUGCGGGAUGACGUCAUUCGGGUUGUAAACCGAUUUCGCCUGUGACGAAGCGUGAGUGACGGUAAUGGGUAAAGAAGCACCGGCUAACUACGUG